UCCUUUAAGAUUCUUCAUAGAUGUGUUUCUUUUAUCGAGCCUUUAUUUUAUCAAGAAAGCCGUUUCUAUACCCUUGGGUUCUCGGUAUAUUGCACUGACUGCAAAUGGUAUGAGCCUUUCUUUUAUCAUAGUCUCUGGGUUGGUUGGUUAAAAGAGAGGAGCAUUAUUAGAUGUAUACUUGAAUCUCUAGAUGUAUACUCAUAUUACUCUUCUAUUUUUAUUUUUCUUUCUCAGAGUUACAUGGACUCGGAGAUCCGGGCUAUCAUGGCUCAGUACAUGCCACUUGACAAUCAAGAAGCACAAAACCACAUCCACCACGGUGAAAUCUGAGGCUA
rnacentral:lncRNA from 1 species